ACUCAUCUGCUUCCUGAAAAUAGACUUCAUGUUUUUAUUCCUCCAAAACCAGCUCUGAGAGAUAGUUUGUAAAUUUCAAGCAAUUAGAAGACAGAUGAUGUGGCCAAGUCCCAGGAUGGUAAGAAAGAAAGACUAGGAGUUCCACGAAGGUCUCUAACAAGGCUGGUCCGCAGCAGCUUCACAUGGAAUAGAGGUGGCCCUGAGGUGAGCUAAGUUUGGGAGGACUAAGUCAUCCCUGACCAUCUGGAUAUCAUACAAAGUGUGGGACAGGAGGGAACAGUCAUCAUUCGAGUCAUUAGUAUGGCUGUGUAAUGCCUCUGGAGAGACUGCAGAAAUCUCCUCCCUUCUCCAAGGAGCCUCCUGACUGCAACUGGCAGCAAGGGGGCAUCCAGCAUGUGCUGCCAACCACUCAGCUCUAGAGAAAGAGACGCAAGACACUUUCCCCUCUUCCACUGAACGCUUUUGAGUGGAUUUGCUAACCUUUCCAAUGUAAACAGUGUAUGUGUGUGUAGAUUUUUUUCUUUUUUUGUAGAACUGGGGAUUAAAUCUAAUACCUUUGCACUGAACUGCAUUCGAAGCCCUUUUUUCAAAGAUUUUUUGGAGACAGUAUUUUGUUAAGUUACUAAAUUGUCCAGCUCUGAUGUAAAUAUCUAACUUUUUAAAGUUAGUUUUCUGAGGAGACUUUAUUUCACCUGUUUAUAUAGAGAAACAUGUAUUUUUAAAAGAAAUUCUGACAAUGUCAAUUGUUGAUGCAAAUGUAGAGAACCUGGAACUCAUAUACAUUGCUAGGUGGGAAUACAAAAUGGUAUGACUAAACAAAUUUGAUACUUUUUUGAAAAAUUAAACAUUAAUACAUAAAGUGAAAUAUAAAUGACCUGGAAAUCCUAUUCACUCUCAAGUCUUCAGGGAAAAGAGAACAAAAUGGGCAUGUUAGGUGGCACAGGCCUGUGAUUACAGGCUCAAGCAGAAGGAAUGCAAAUUCCAGCCCAGCCUGGGUAAUUUAGUGAGUUACUAAGACCCUGCCUCUCAUAAAAAGUAUUUAAAAUGGGAUUUAGGAUGUAGCUUAAUGUGAAGGGCUUGGGUUCCAUUCCCCAUACUGGGAGUGAGGGAAGACGUAUAAAGAUAUGUAAGUUUAUGUUCAUACCAGCUUUAUUCGUAAGACCUAUCCUAGAAAUACUCCAAAUGUUCAUCUACAGGUGAAGGGAUAAACUGUGGCUUGUGAAUAUCCAUAUUAUAGAAUGCUACUCAACAAUAAAAUGAAACAAAUCAGUGGAACAUGCAAUAACAUGGAUGAAUUUCAAAAACAGAAUAUUUUUGAGAGUGAAAGAAGCUGAUUGCAUUUUAACUCAAUUAUGUGACUUUGUUCAUACAAAAUGCCAGACAAGAUACAAUGUGUGGUAAUAGAAAGCAAAUUAGUGAUUACCAAGGGGAGGGCUGGGUGUUCACUGGAAUGCAGUUGAAAAACAAUGUGUAUGCCUUAAUAAUGGUUACUGAACACAUACAAUUGUCAAGGCUCAUUUGGAGGUACCUUAUUAUCUAUAAUUUAUACCUCAACAAAGGCAACUUAUUUAAGAAUCUAUCUGUAUUUUUAAAGAGGACUUUGAUUUACAAUUCACUUUGAGAGGAGACAAUUUUUAAACAGUGACUAAUAAAUAAAGGCUAGAGGCUCCUAUUUAUUAUCAAAAA